CCUAGAGUGUAGGGGUUAGGGUUCAACCUAGAGUAUAGGGGGUUCAACCUAGGCUGUAGGGGAUAGGGUUCAACCUAGGCUGUAGGGGGUUAGGGUUCAACCUAGGCUGUAGGGGGUUAGGGUUCAACCUAGGCUGUAGGGGGUUAGGGUUCAACCUAGGCUGUAGGGGGUUAGGGCUGGACAUAAGUAAGAAGCUAUGUCCCAAAGGCAGUUGAACAGGACAAUAGACAUGAAGCGUCUCCUGGAGAUGAUGUCUGGACUGCCUGGAAAACAAGAUGGCAGCCCUCACAGGACUCAGCCAUCUAGCUUUAAAAUAUACACCUUUACAUAGAAAAACACAAGGAGUCCCAAACCACAC
rnacentral:lncRNA from 13 species